rnacentral:rRNA from 1 species
AAGAGGAUGUAUAGGGUGUGACGCCUGCCCGGUGCUCGAAGGUUAAUUGAUGGGGUUAGCAUUAGCGAAGCUCUUGAUCGAAGCCCGAGUAAACGGCGGCCGUAACUAUAACGGUCCUAAGGUAGCGAAAUUCCUUGUCGGUUAAAUACCGACCUGCAUGAAUGGCGUAACGAGAUGGGAGCUGUCUCAAAGAGGGAUCCAGUGAAAUUGUAGUGGAGGUGAAAAUUCCUCCUACCCGCGGCAAGACGGAAAGACCCCGUGGACCUUUACUACAGCUUGACACUGCUACUUGGAUAAGAAUGUGCAGGAUAGGUGGGAGGCUUUGAGUAUAUGACGCCAGUUGUAUAUGAGCCAUUGUUGAGAUACCACUCUUUCUUAUUUGGGUAGCUAACCAGCUUGAGUUAUCCUCAAGUGGGACAAUGUCUGGUGGGUAGUUUGACUGGGGCGGUCGCCUCCCAAAUAAUAACGGAGGCUUACAAAGGUUGGCUCAGAACGGUUGGAAAUCGUUCGUAGAGUAUAAAGGUAUAAGCCAGCUUAACUGCAAGACAUACAAGUCAAGCAGAGACGAAAGUCGGUCUUAGUGAUCCGGUGGUUCUGUGUGGAAGGGCCAUCGCUCAAAGGAUAAAAGGUACCCCGGGGAUAACAGGCUGAUCUCCCCCAAGAGCUCACAUCGACGGGGAGGUUUGGCACCUCGAUGUCGGCUCAUCGCAUCCUGGGGCUGGAGCAGGUCCCAAGGGUAUGGCUGUUCGCCAUUUAAAGCGGUACGCGAGCUGGGUUCAGAACGUCGUGAGACAGUUCGGUCCCUAUCUGCCGUGGGCGUAAGAAGAUUGAAGAGAUUUGACCCUAGUACGAGAGGACCGGGUUGAACAAACCACUGGUGUAGCUGUUGUUCUGCCAAGAGCAUCGCAGCGUAGCUAAGUUUGGAAAGGAUAAACGCUGAAAGCAUCUAAGCGUGAAGCCAACUCUAAGAUGAAUCUUCUCUAAGCUCUCUAGAAGACUACUAGUUUGAUAGGCUGGGUGUGUAAUGGAUGAAAGUCCUUUAGCUGACCAGUACUAAUAGAGCGUUUGGCUUAUCUUUAAUAAAGCAU